rnacentral:lncRNA from 1 species
AAGGCUAAGGCCAGUGGGAAGAAGCUGCAGAAGGUGACUCUGAAGGUGUCGCCACGGGGAAUUAUCCUGACAGACAACCUCACCAACCAGCUCAUUGAGAACGUGUCCAUAUACAGGAUCUCCUAUUGCACAGCAGACAAGAUGCACGACAAGGUGUUUGCAUACAUCGCCCAGAGCCAGCACAACCAGAGCCUCGAGUGCCACGCCUUCCUCUGCACCAAGCGGAAGAUGGUCAGCGGGGAGGGCUGGGGCUGGGACAGGGUCCAGUGGCCUUGGCAGCCUUGCUCUGGGUUGGGGGCUGUCUGGUGUGGGAGGCAGGACCCAAAGGUGACCAUUACUUAAGAAGAGGGUGAAAUAUCUGGGAACCCCAAGUGGGUGCCGAGAGCUAAGGGGUACAGUGGUGGGGCUGCAGGCAGGCUAGUGAACCGCCGGUCAGCUUUGUGUGGGCAGUAGCUGGCCCAUGUCCCCAGUGUGUGUCUGGGCCUGUUCUCUCUGUAACGGGAUUUGCUGGGUUGAGAUUGUUUUGGAUCUCCUGUCUUUAAUAUGGUCUAGGGAUGCAGGGCCUUCUGGUGAUUGGUCCUCGGAAAUGGGAGAUCAGGGGGGCCUAGGGUGGAAGGCAAAGGCGAGAGCCGUCAGAGAACCAGGCUUGCUGUGACUGGAGUGUGG